rnacentral:rRNA from 1 species
GGUUAAGCGACUAAGCGUACACGGUGGAUGCCCUGGCAGUCAGAGGCGAUGAAGGGCGUGCUAAUCUGCGAUAAGCGCCGGUAAGGUGAUAUGAACCGUUAUAACCGGCGAUACCCGAAUGGGGAAACCCAGUGUGAUUCGUCACACUAUCAUUAACUGAAUCCAUAGGUUAAUGAGGCGAACCGGGGGAACUGAAACAUCUAAGUACCCCGAGGAAAAGAAAUCAACCGAGAUUCCCCCAGUAGCGGCGAGCGAACGGGGAGGAGCCCAGAGCCUGAAUCAGCAUGUGUGUUAGUGGAAGCGUCUGGAAAGGCGCGCGAUACAGGGUGACAGCCCCGUACACAAAAGCGCAUGUGCUGUGAGCUCGAUGAGUAGGGCGGGACACGUGGUAUCCUGUCUGAAUAUGGGGGGACCAUCCUCCAAGGCUAAAUACUCCUGACUGACCGAUAGUGAACCAGUACCGUGAGGGAAAGGCGAAAAGAACCCCGGCGAGGGGAGUGAAAAAGAACCUGAAACCGUGUACGUACAAGCAGUGGGAGCACCCUUUGGGGUGUGACUGCGUACCUUUUGUAUAAUGGGUCAGCGACUUAUAUUCUGUAGCAAGGUUAACCGAAUAGGGGAGCCGGAGGGAAACCGAGUCUUAACCGGGCGUUAAGUUGCAGGGUAUAGACCCGAAACCCGGUGAUCUAGCCAUGGGCAGGUUGAAGGUUGGGUAACACUAACUGGAGGACCGAACCGACUAAUGUUGAAAAAUUAGCGGAUGACCUGUGGCUGGGGGUGAAAGGCCAAUCAAACCGGGAGAUAGCUGGUUCUCCCCGAAAGCUAUUUAGGUAGCGCCUCGUGAAUUCAUCUCCGGGGGUAGAGCACUGUUUCGGCUAGGGGGCCAUCCCGGCUUACCAACCCGAUGCAAACUGCGAAUACCGGAGAAUGUUAUCACGGGAGACACACGGCGGGUGCUAACGUCCGUCGUGAAGAGGGAAACAACCCAGACCGCCAGCUAAGGUCCCAAAGUCAUGGUUAAGUGGGAAACGAUGUGGGAAGGCCCAGACAGCCAGGAUGUUGGCUUAGAAGCAGCCAUCAUUUAAAGAAAGCGUAAUAGCUCACUGGUCGAGUCGGCCUGCGCGGAAGAUGUAACGGGGCUAAACCAUGCACCGAAGCUGCGGCAGCGACGCUGAUGCGUUGUUGGGUAGGGGAGCGUUCUGUAAGCCUGCGAAGGUGUGUCGUGAGGCAUGCUGGAGGUAUCAGAAGUGCGAAUGCUGACAUAAGUAACGAUAAAGCGGGUGAAAAGCCCGCUCGCCGGAAGACCAAGGGUUCCUGUCCAACGUUAAUCGGGGCAGGGUGAGUCGACCCCUAAGGCGAGGCCGAAAGGCGUAGUCGAUGGGAAACGGGUUAAUAUUCCCGUACUUGGUGUUACUGCGAAGGGGGGACGGAGAAGGCUAUGUUGGCCGGGCGACGGUUGUCCCGGUUUAAGCGUGUAGGUGUGUGUUCCAGGUAAAUCCGGUUCACUUUAACACUGAGGCGUGAUGACGAGGCACUACGGUGCUGAAGCAACAAAUGCCCUGCUUCCAGGAAAAGCCUCUAAGCAUCAGGUAACAUCAAAUCGUACCCCAAACCGACACAGGUGGUCAGGUAGAGAAUACCAAGGCGCUUGAGAGAACUCGGGUGAAGGAACUAGGCAAAAUGGUGCCGUAACUUCGGGAGAAGGCACGCUGACACGUAGGUGAAGUGAUUUACUCAUGGAGCUGAAGUCAGUCGAAGAUACCAGCUGGCUGCAACUGUUUAUUAAAAACACAGCACUGUGCAAACACGAAAGUGGACGUAUACGGUGUGACGCCUGCCCGGUGCCGGAAGGUUAAUUGAUGGGGUCAGCGCAAGCGAAGCUCCUGAUCGAAGCCCCGGUAAACGGCGGCCGUAACUAUAACGGUCCUAAGGUAGCGAAAUUCCUUGUCGGGUAAGUUCCGACCUGCACGAAUGGCGUAAUGAUGGCCAGGCUGUCUCCACCCGAGACUCAGUGAAAUUGAACUCGCUGUGAAGAUGCAGUGUACCCGCGGCAAGACGGAAAGACCCCGUGAACCUUUACUAUAGCUUGACACUGAACAUUGAGCCUUGAUGUGUAGGAUAGGUGGGAGGCUUUGAAGUGUGGACGCCAGUCUGCAUGGAGCCGGCCUUGAAAUACCACCCUUUAAUGUUUGAUGUUCUAACGUGGACCCGUGAUCCGGGUUGCGGACAGUGUCUGGUGGGUAGUUUGACUGGGGCGGUCUCCUCCUAAAGAGUAACGGAGGAGCACGAAGGUUGGCUAAUCCUGGUCGGACAUCAGGAGGUUAGUGCAAUGGCAUAAGCCAGCUUGACUGCGAGCGUGACGGCGCGAGCAGGUGCGAAAGCAGGUCAUAGUGAUCCGGUGGUUCUGAAUGGAAGGGCCAUCGCUCAACGGAUAAAAGGUACUCCGGGGAUAACAGGCUGAUACCGCCCAAGAGUUCAUAUCGACGGCGGUGUUUGGCACCUCGAUGUCGGCUCAUCACAUCCUGGGGCUGAAGUAGGUCCCAAGGGUAUGGCUGUUCGCCAUUUAAAGUGGUACGCGAGCUGGGUUUAGAACGUCGUGAGACAGUUCGGUCCCUAUCUGCCGUGGGCGCUGGAGAACUGAGGGGGGCUGCUCCUAGUACGAGAGGACCGGAGUGGACGCAUCACUGGUGUUCGGGUUGUCAUGCCAAUGGCACUGCCCGGUAGCUAAAUGCGGAAGAGAUAAGUGCUGAAAGCAUCUAAGCACGAAACUUGCCCCGAGAUGAGUUCUCCCUGAGACUUAGAGUCUCCUGAAGGAACGUUGAAGACGACGACGUUGAUAGGCCGGGUGUGUAAGCGCAGCGAUGCGUUGAGCUAACCGGUACUAAUGAACCGUGAGGCUUAACCUU